UGUCUCGUAAAUCUGCUGGAAAACGCAAAAAGAAUGAAGAUGAACACCUAGACUCGAUAAUUGAUGAGAUUAACACCAUUACAGGUGCAGAGUCUUCUAAAAGUAGAAAGACUCGACCUAACCACUCAAGUAAAAAUAAAGAUAUUGACAUCGUACUGAGAAGAGACGAAUCUGGCCAGCGAAUAUAUCACAACCCAAGACGAUUGUCGCAGUCUAGCUGGGCAAGACGAGGCAGCAAUAUCACUGCAACUACUGCAAACAAGGAAGGAUUUGUCGAGACAGACUCUGUGAACGAAAGCAAUCCAGAGUCAGUGGGGUUAGGGUGAAUUUUCUGGCCCCGGAAAAUAUCAAAUGAUCAGCUUCUGAAGCAAACCGAACAGGAGGAUAUUUGUACCCUUAUCACCAGGAGAAGAUGGAGAUAUUUCAGGCAUGUGCUGUGAAAGAGCAAUAACAACAUAGCCAGAAUUGCAAUGCGCUGGACACCUGAAGGUAAACGGAGCAGAGGGCGCCCAAAAACAACAUGGCGCAGAACUGUAGAAAAGGGACUGAGGGAGCUCAAUUACAGCUGGAGCACCAUUGAAAAACUGGCUAAAGAUAAGCAGGGUUGGAAAGAUUUCGUUGCUGCCCUAUGUGCCACAUAGGCAUGAUGGGCAGUAAGUAAGUAAUGGAAUACACAAGAUUGAACAAACCUGUUGAUCUCUUAACUGACAAAGUAGAUGAACAUUUUGAAACUUUUGAGCAAGACCUUGAUGCAAUCAUUGAACAGUGUGAGGAAGCUGUUGGGGAA